UAGCCUUGACAUUGAUUGAAUACUUUAGAGAUAGAGUAGUGCCCUUCGGGGAGCAUGAAAACAGGUGCUGCACGGCUGUCGUCAGCUCGUGUCGUGAGAUGUUGGGUUAAGUCCCGCAACGAGCGCAACCCUCGUCCUUAGUUGCCAGCAGGUUAAGCUGGGCACUCUAAGGAGACUGCCUUCGCAAGGAGGAGGAAGGUGAGGACGACGUCAAGUCAUCAUGGCCCUUAUGGCUAGGGCUACACACGUGCUACAAUGGGGCGUACAGAGAGUUGCGAUACCGCGAGGUGGAGCCAAUCUCAUAAAGCGUCUCUCAGUUCGGAUUGGAGUCUGCAACUCGACUCCAUGAAGC
rnacentral:rRNA from 1 species